CGGCGGACGGGUGCGUAACGCGUAUGCAACCUACCUUUAACAGGGGGAUAACACUGAGAAAUUGGUACUAAUACCCCAUAAUAUCAUAGAAGGCAUCUUUUAUGGUUGAAAAUUCCGAUGGUUAGAGAUGGGCAUGCGUUGUAUUAGCUAGUUGGUGGGGUAACGGCUCACCAAGGCGACGAUACAUAGGGGGACUGAGAGGUUAACCCCCCACACUGGUACUGAGACACGGACCAG
rnacentral:rRNA from 1 species